rnacentral:rRNA from 1 species
AUACAGAGGUGGCAAGCGUUGUUCGGAUUUAUUGGGCGUAAAGGGUUCGUAGGCGGACCGUAAAGUUGGAUGUGAAAUCCCACAGCUUAACUGUGGAACUGCAUUCAAAACUCACGGACUAGAGUGUGAGAGGGGUAAAGGGAAUUCCUGGUGUAAGGGUGAAAUCUGCAGAUAUCAGGAAGAAAACCAGUCGCGAAGGCGCUUUACUGGCUCACUACUGACGCUGAGGGACGAAAGCUAGGGGAGCGAACGGGAUUAGAAACCCCAGUAGUCC